AACUCUUAGUGGUGGAUCACUUGGCUUGUGCGUCGAUGAAGAACGCAGCUAGCUGCGAGAACUAAUGUGAUUUGCAGGACACAUUGAUCAUUGAGACUUCGAACGCACCUUGCGGCCUCCUGGGGCUACGCCUGUCUGAGGGUCG
rnacentral:rRNA from 1 species